AGGAGAUGGAGGGAAAGCUAGGUAAGAAGCUCAAAGCCAGAAGGAAGGCCUGAGAGAGACUGGGAGAUCCAGAGGGAAAGUAAGAGAGGCUGCCAAUUAGUGCGUCAGUACCUGAGACCACCAACUCACUCUACAUAGACUGCUGGACAGGCAUCAGAAGGUAACAAGUUCUAGGGCCAGAUCUUCCAACUGAUAGCAACUGAGCGUGCCAAUACAUCUAACACAUCUUGACUACAGAGUGCUCGAAGAAGCUUUCAUUUGUCACUGCCUGCUCAACGGGGAUCAGGCAUAGCUGAAGUGGAGAAAGAUUUUCUUUCAUCGGUGGCUGAUGGACCAUCCUGUUUAAAUUGCUGUGCUUGCAAGAAGGAUUUAAAUCAAAGGAGAAAUCUUGUGCUCAUACCAAAGAGCUGUUUUUCUUCAUUUAAUGAAACAGGGCCCAAUCCAACCUCUGUUCACAGGAAUAAGCCAUAGACAUCAGAAUACUCCUAUUCAACUUUCUGAGACUACUCACGCCUUCCUACAUGCGUUACUGUGCAAAGUCAGUGAGGAGAGUCCAGAUGAUGAUACGAUGGCAGUGCAAUAGAAUGAAAACUAAUGAAGGCUCUGACUCAGAAAAGCACUUAAGCACGUGGUUAACGUUAAGCACAUGAGUAAUCUCGCUGACCUUCAACAGCAGGAAGUUGAAUAGUCAACAGGAAGAAACCUUCAUCGGUUGCUGUUGCAUUUACUGCUUGACUGAAGCAGUGUACAACCCUAGUUCCGCAACUGAGCAACGAAACUCAUCUUUAACUUUAUGUGUAGGAGUAAUCCCACUGAAUUCACUUCCCAUAAAGUUCAGAAUGUAUUUAUGUGCUUUGUGGGAUUAGGCCUAACACUGUUUCUAAUCUAGCACAAAUGCAACAACCGCCAAUUAGUUCUUUGUCCUGUUAUAUAGCGCUGUCAUUUGUUUGUCAAGAUAAAGACAUUUAUUUGAUGAAAGGAAUCUGGCUGGAGAGUGGGAAUGGUUUGCUCUCUCUUUGCUAAUUUCACUGCUGUUGUAAUAAAGAGCAUUUUGUUUUACCUGCCUAACAGAGCAUGACGACACAGGAACAGUAUGACUUAUUAAGUAGGGCAAACAUCAGAACCUUGACAUAAUGCAAACCAUGUGUCUCGCAGCAAUCUUUAUAUGCCUCUGACAGUUCAGAAGGUACUCUGUAAAAGCAUUUGCUAAGCAUCAUACCAGCUUUUAUCUGAUCAUACCUGCUAGCUAUCCUCCCACAUGUACUUUUUUUUUUUAGUUAUUAUGCCAAUAAAAGCGGCAAAAUAUAACAUAAGCCUAUAACUUUUUGUUUAAAAAAAAAUCAUCAUCUCUAAGACAGGCAAGUGGUCUAGCAGAUCAGGACAGCUGUCGUUUAGUACUUUCAAGAUAAAUUUCAAGUUCUUCACAGCUGGAGCUAUUCAGUAGCUUACUAAGAAAUCUUGUACCACUGCCAAUGCUCUGCAGCUGCCAAAUCUGCCUUUAUUAGCAGCCACAUUUCUUGCUCUGCCAUAGUUGAAUGCAAAAUGAGUCUGACAUUAGUUUUCAUUCAACUUUCACAAGUGUGCUAAGAUAAUCAUAAUAAUCACUCUGUGUGUGCAUGUUUUAUACAUCAUCCUCUGUAUAAACUGAUAUAUAAACACAGUGUGGGAUGCAAAAUACUACAAAAUCAGUGUUUGUAAGCAUCCAUCCAUUCAGAUUCCAGACAACUCUAUGGUUUGACUAUAUUCGUACCUCUUAUUAUUCAUUAUUUAUGAUCAUUCACAUGAAUAGGUCUUUGUAUGAAGGACUGGCUGGUCUUUAUAGGUGGCAUUCACCCUGUGCAGAUGGCCAGCACAAUAUUUAAGUCCCACUGAAGCCCUAUUUUGAGAAAGAACUCCGCUGUAGCUGGUCCCAAGCCCAGUUGAAAAAGUAGGAGUGUUGGCAUCAGGCUGGCAGCUGGCUGUACAACUUUGCCAAAGAAAGCUAUGAAAUGAGUCCUUUAUACACCCUAUAUGAACUAGGGUGCUCCCUGGUGAAGGAGUUGACAAGUCAACCCUUAUGUAUG